CCACGUCAAUUAAUGAGGCUUGAUCAGACGCUCCUGGUUUUUUUGAUUUUCCUAUUUUCUGAUUUAAUUUCUUUUAUUUCUUUUAUUUUCAAAAAUUCAUAUCUUCUUCAUUUUAAUUCCAAAAAAUAUGGCACCAAUUGCAUUCUUCUCCAAAUAAUUUCUAGUUUCUAAUUUUGAUUUUUAAUAUUUUUUAUUUUGUCAUUUGAUAUUUUUUGUGAAUUUUCUCUUUUCUGGUUAUUUUUAAUUCAUUUUAAAUA
rnacentral:lncRNA from 1 species